UAGGGAAUCUUCCGCAAUGGGCGAAAGCCUGACGGAGCAACGCCGCGUGAGUGAUGAAGGUCUUCGGAUCGUAAAACUCUGUUAUUAGGGAAGAACAAAUGUGUAAGUAACUAUGCACGUCUUGACGGUACCUAAUCAGAAAGCCACGGCUAACUACGUGCCAGCAGCCGCGGUAAUACGUAGGUGGCAAGCGUUAUCCGGAAUUAUUGGGCGUAAAGCGCGCGUAGGCGGUUUUUUAAGUCUGAUGUGAAAGCCCACGGCUCAACCGUGGAGGGUCAUUGGAAACUGGAAAGCUUGAGUGCAGAAGAGGAAAGUGGAAUUCCAUGUGUAGCGGUGAAAGGCGCAGCGAUAUGGAGGAACACCAGUGGCGAAGGCGACUUUCUGGUCUGUAACUGACGCUGAUGUGCGAAAGCGUGGGGAUCAAACAGG
rnacentral:rRNA from 1 species